rnacentral:rRNA from 1 species
AACGAACGCUGGCGGCAUGCCUAACACAUGCAAGUCGAACGAGACCUUCGGUUCUAGUGUCGCACGUGUGCGUAACGCGUGGUAACUUGCCCUUAGGUUCGGAAUAACCCCCCGAAAGGGGUGCCAAUACCGGAUAAUGUCUUCCGACCAAAGAUCUAUCGCCUUUGGAUGGGCCCGCGUUGGAUUAGCUAGUUGGUAGGGUAACAUCCUACCAAGGCGACGAUCCAUAGCUGGUCUGAGGGGAUGAUAAGCCACACUGGGACUGAGACACGGCACAGACUCGUACGGGAGGCAGCAGUGGGGAAGAUUGGACAAUGGGCGAAAGCCUGAUCAAGAAAUGCCGCGUGAGUGAUGAAGGCCUUAGGGUUGUAAAGCUAUUUCACCCGGGAUGAUAAUGACGGUACCGGGAGAAUAAGCCCCGGCUAACUCCGUG